rnacentral:tRNA from 3 species
GGCCCGGUAGCUCAGUUGGUAGAGCACUUGACUGAAAAUCAAGGUGUCGACAGUUCGAUUCUGUCCUGGGCCACCA